GACGAACGCUGGCGGCGUGCUUAACACAUGCAAGUCGAACGGUGACCUGGGGUGCUUGCACCUUGGUGAUCAGUGGCGAACGGGUGAGUAACACGUGAGUAACCUGCCCCUGACUCUGGAAUAACCCCGGGAAACCGGGGCUAAUACCGGAUAUGAAACGAGCCUGCAUGGGUCUGUUUGGAAAGUUUCUCGGUUGGAGAUGGACUCGCGGCCUAUCAGCUUGUAGGUGAGGUAAUGUGUCACCAAGGCGACGACGGGUAGCCGGCCUGAGAGGGCGACCGGCCACACUGGGACUGAGACACGGCCCAGACUCCUACGGGAGGCAGCAGUGGGGAAUCUUGGACAAUGGGCGCAAGCCUGAUCUAGCCAUGCCGCGUGAGCGAUGAAGGCCUUAGGGUUGUAAAGCUCUUUCAGCUGGGAAGAUAAUGACUGGACCAGCAGAAGAAGCCCCGGCUAACUCCGUGCCAGCAGCCGCUGUAACAC
rnacentral:rRNA from 1 species